rnacentral:rRNA from 1 species
UACCAGCACCCCGAGUGGUCGGGACGAUUAUUGGGCCUAAAGCAUCCGUAGCCGGUUCUACAAGUCUUCCGUUAAAUCCACCUGCUUAACAGUUGGGCUGCAGAGGAUACUAUAGAGCUAGGAGGCGGGAGAGGCAAGCGGUACUUAGUGGGUAGGGGUAAAAUCCGUUGAUCCGCUGAAGACCACCAGUGGCGAAGGCGGCUUGCCAGAACGCGCUCGACGGGGAGGGAUGAAAGCUGGGGGAGCACACCGGAGGAGAAAACCGCGUAGUUC